AAUGUUGUGCCUUCACAGAAUUUAAAUUGGCAUUAGGAAUAGACUUCCUUGAUUUAGUAAUGAUAUUGCUCAUAGAAAUUGAUAAUGUGAAGAAUAACAAUACAGGAACAUAGAAUAACAAGAAAGAAAUUCUAGCAGCAAGUUAGGGACACAGUAAAAAGACAAAACAUUUAGACCCUUUGAAAGAGAAAUGUUUGCAAUGGAUAUUAAUAAAUUCUAGCCAAUUUGUAUGAUGUACAAUGCAGGCAAUAUUUCUGCCUCCUAACGUACUAUUCGCGUAAAAGAAGAUGUGGGUAUUGUAUUUAUAGGUAGUUAAUGAUACAUGGAAUAUAUUUCUAUAUUAUUGCAAUAACAAUGUCUUUAUGUUGUAUUUUUUUAGAACGGGUUUAUUAUUAGUUGGCUAGUGUGUUAGUAGGAUAGCCAUUAGUAGUUAUAAAGUAUGAAGUCGUCAGGUAUUAAUAAUAGGAAUUGAUCAAAGCUUAUACAUUUAUUGUGAUAUUUAUAUUGUGAAUUUAAGUAGUUAGAGUUUUGGUUGUUUAAUAAACGAAUUAAUGUG